rnacentral:rRNA from 1 species
UUUCUUUAUUGGGGUUGCGGACAUAUCAUAACGAAGAGGUAUCGUAAUUGAAGAGGUUUGGAAAGACCCACCACAGAAGGUAAUAGUCCUGUAUGUUAAACGAGAAGACUUUAGAUAUGAUCCAGAGUACCACGGGACACGUGAAACCCUGUGGGAAGCAGGAGGGACCCCCCUCCAAGGCUAAAUACUACCUAGUGACCGAUAGCGUAUAGUACCGUGAGGGAAAGGUGAAAAGAACCCCGGGAGGGGAGUGAAAUAGAACCUGAAACCCUGC